rnacentral:rRNA from 1 species
CAGUAGCCGCGGGAAUACAGAGGGUGCGAGCGUUAAUCGGAUUUACUGGGCGUAAAGCGUGCGUAGGCGGCUAAUUGAGUCGGAUGUGAAAUCCCAGAGCUUAACUUGGGAAUUGCAUUCGAUACUGGUUAGCUAGAGUGUGGGAGAGGAUGGUAGAAUUCCAGGUGUAGCGGUGAAAUGCGUAGAGAUCUGGAGGAAUACCGAUGGCGAAGGCAGCCAUCUGGCCUAACACUGACGCUGAGGUACGAAAGCAUGGGGAGCAAACAGGAUUAGAUACCCCUGUAGUCCCUGUCUCUUAUAC